rnacentral:rRNA from 1 species
UACGUAGGGGGCAAGCGUUGUCCGGAUUUAUUGGGCGUAAAGAGCGUGUAGGCGGCCAGACAAGUCCGUUGUGAAAACUCGAGGCUCAACCUCGAGACGUCGGUUGAAACCACCUGGCUAGAGUCCGGAAGAGGAGAGUGGAAUUCCCGGUGUAGCGGUGAAAUGCGCAGAUAUCAGGAAGAACACCCGUGGCGAAGGCGGCUCUCUGGGACGGUACUGACGCUGAGACGCGAAAGCGUGGGGAGCGAACAGG